GAUGAACGCUAGCGGCAGGCUUAAUACAUGCAAGUCGUGGGGCAGCAUGAGUAGCAAUACUUGAUGGCGACCGGCAAACGGGUGAGGAACACGUACACAACCUUCCUUCAAGCGGGAAUAGCCCAGAGAAAUUUGGAUUAAUACCCCAUAAUAUAUUUGAUAAGGCAUCUUAUUAAUAUUAAAGCUUCGGCACUUGAUGAUGGGUGUGCGGCUGAUUAGAUAGUUGCGGGUAACGGCCCACCAAGUCUACGAUCAGUAGCUGAUGUGAGAGCAUGAUCAGCCACACGGGCACUGAGACACGGGCCCGAUUCCUACGGGAGGCAGCAGUAAGGAAUAUUGGACAAUGGACGAAAGUCUGAUCCAGCCAUGCCGCGUGAAGGAUUAAGGGU
rnacentral:rRNA from 1 species